rnacentral:rRNA from 1 species
GUGCACGCUGGCGGUAGGCCUAACCCAUGCAAGUCGCACGGCAGCACAGUAAGAGCUUGCUCUUACGGGUGGCGAGUGGCGGACGGGUGAGGAAUACAUCGGAAUCUACUUUUUCGUGGGGGAUAACGUAGGGAAACUUACGCUAAUACCGCAUACGACCUACGGGUGAAAGCAGGGGAUCUUCGGACCUUGCGCGAUUGAAUGAGCCGAUGUCGGAUUAGCUGGUUGGCGGGGUAAAGGCCCACCAAGGCGACGAUCCGUAGCUGGUCUGAGAGGAUGAUCAGCCACACUGGAACUGAGACACGGUCCAGACUCCUACGGGAGGCAGCAGUGGGGAAUAUUGGACAAUGGGCGCAAGCCUGAUCCAGCCAUACCGCGUGGGUGAAGAAGGCCUUCGGGUUGUAAAGCCCUUUUGUUGGGAAAGAAAAGCAGCAGGUUAAUACCCCGCUGUUCUGACGGUACCCAAAGAAUAAGCACCGGCUAACUUCGUG